UUCGGUAGAAACAUGUAGGAGGAAAGUGGGGAACGGGUGAGUAACGCGUGAGCAACCUGCCUUACACAAAGGGAUAGCCUCGGGAAACCGGGAUUAAUACCAUAUGACACUACAGACACGAGUGUGUUUGAAGUUAAAGAUUUAUCGGUGUAAGAUGGGCUCGCGUCUGAUUAGCUAGUUGGUGAGAUAAAAGCUCACCAAGGCGACGAUCAGUAACCGGCUUGAGAGAGUGAACGGUCACAUUGGAACUGAGACACGGUCCAAACUCCUACGGGAGGCAGCAGUGGGGAAUAUUGCACAAUGGGGGAAACCCUGAUGCAGCGACGCCGCGUGAACGACGAAGGCCUUCGGGUCGUAAAGUUCUGUCCUUGGUAAAGAUAAUGACGGUAACCAAGGAGGAAGCACCGGCUAAAUACGUGCCAGCAGCCGCGGUAAUACGUAUGGUGCGAGCGUUGUCCGGAAUUAUUGGGCGUAAAGAGUACGUAGGCGGUCAUGCAAGCGCAUGGUGAAAGGCAUAGGCUCAACCAAUGUCAGCCGUGCGAACUGCAUAACUUGAGUGCGGGAGAGGAAAGCGGAAUUCCUGGUGUAGCGGUGAAAUGCGUAGAUAUCAGGAGGAACACCGGUGGCGAAGGCGGCUUUCUGGACCGUAACUGACGCUGAGGUACGAAAGCGUGGGGAGCAAACAGGAUUAGAUACCCUGGUAGUCCACGCCGUAAACGAUGAGUAUUAGGUGUCGGGUCCGCAGGGAUUCGGUGCCGCAGUUAACGCA
rnacentral:rRNA from 1 species